rnacentral:misc_RNA from 1 species
AACGCAAGUUGCGCCCGAAGCCAUUAGGCCGAGGGCACGCCUGCCUGGGCGUCGCGCGUCGUUGCCCUAACUCGGACGUCUCACUUGGUGUCGUUGAGUGGCGAAUGUUGGCUUCCCACGAGCGUUGCCUCAUGGUUGGUUGAAAUUCGAGUCCGUGGUGGAGGAUGCCACGAUUGAUAUGGUGGUUGAGUAAUUAGCUCGAGACCCAUCGUGAGCGACUCCAUCUUGUUUUGGACUCUUUGACCCACAUGAGCAUCUCCGAUGCUCGUUACGAGACCUCAGGUCAGACGGGGUUACCCGCUGAGUUUAA